CCUACGGGGGGCAGCAGUGGGGAAUAAUGGACAAUGGGGGGAACCCUGAUCCAGCCAUGCCGCGUGUGUGAAGAAGGCCCUCGGGUUGUAAAGCACUUUCAGUGAGGAAGAACGCCUGGUGGUUAAUACCCAUCAGGAAAGACAUCACUCACAGAAGAAGCACCGGCUAACUCCGUGCCAGCAGCCGCGGUAAUACGGAGGGUGCGAGCGUUAAUCGGAAUUACUGGGCGUAAAGCGCGCGUAGGUGGCUUGAUAAGCCGGUUGUGAAAGCCCCGGGCUCAACCUGGGAACGGCAUCCGGAACUGUCAAGCUAGAGUGCAGGAGAGGAAGGUAGAAUUCCCGGUGUAGCGGUGAAAUGCGUAGAGAUCGGGAGGAAUACCAGUGGCGAAGGCGGCCUUCUGGACUGACACUGACACUGAGGUGCGAAAGCGUGGGUAGCAAACAGGAUUAGAUACCCCAGUAGUC
rnacentral:rRNA from 1 species